UACGGAGGGUGCGAGCGUUAAUCGGAAUUACUGGGCGUAAAGGGCGCGUAGGCGGUUCGGUAAGUCCGCCGUGAAAAUCCGAGGCUCAACCUCGGGCUUGCGGUGGAUACUGUCGGGCUAGAGGAUGGUAGAGGGGAGUGGAAUUCCCGGUGUAGCGGUGAAAUGCGCAGAUAUCGGGAGGAACACCAGUAGCGAAGGCGGCUCUCUAGGACGGUACUGACGCUGAGACGCGAAAGCGUGGGGAGCGAACAGGAUUAGAUACCCUAGUAGU
rnacentral:rRNA from 1 species